UCCAGAGGGUCGGCGGAAAAGAUAGCUUGACGUUGAAGAUAGGAUUACAGCCGUAGAUCAUUUCCACCGCCUCAAUUUGAUGGUUCGAUUCUCUCACUCGCAUCAAAUCUCACCUAUAAAUACCUAUUAACUCAAACCCAAUUACUGCAAUAAUUUUUGCAGGCGGGUCGACUUCUGGACGGAUGUUUCUGAUAUUUCUUCGGCAGGGCUCGAUCGGAUGAUAAAUGGUUCAGGUCCUACGAUGGCUGUAUGGAGAAAAUUAAAAUUUCCGUUCUAUUAUUCAGUCUUUCCGAGUUUUGUUACGAUUUAGGUUUUAGGGUUUGAUGCCUGUUUUUCUGUAGUUUAUUCUGAUCAACAGAAAUAUAUUCUGGACCUAAACUUUUGUCUGGUCCCGUCAACAAUGAUUUUUAAGCUUCUCACCGAGGUCAGGCAGACCAUGUGUUUCUACGCCUCAUGCCUUUCCAAUUCAUAACUAUGGUGAAUUUUUUGAUUGCAAUAUAAUGAAUAUUGACCGGAGUUAACAGAUCAUAUACGGAGGAGGGACGACAUCUAGCCUGAUUUCCCCCUAUUUAAUCAAGAACGUGGGGGCAUUAUUUAUUUCUCUGAUAUAAUUGUGCUGGUGUAUCACGUUUUUUUUAUGUGUAGGCCAACUGAGUGGAAAAUUAGGUGUGUCAAAUGAGGACAUGGAUAAAUCUUAAGAAAGUACACUACGAUCUAAAUUUCUUCCUCGGCCUCGGUUUUUAUGCAACUGUCGUUUUUGCUGUUUGUUAGUGUGUUGUUGGUUUUUAUUUUCCCUUAGUCUCUCUUUAAGAAAGAUUUUAGUCUUAUCUUCCAUAACCAAGGGUUUGUUGGGUUUAUGCUACGGAGGGGUUAGUCUGACCAGCUGCAGGGAAAGUGAUGCUCAAUUUAUUUUGAUCGUAGAUGAGGCGAUGAAAGACAACUAAAGUCCUGUUGGGGGAUAGUCCACCGGUAGAUGAGGUGAUGUUCAUCGGAAGGAGUAGCAAGCCAGAAUUGAGAGGUUUUAGAUGCUUCGAAUUUGAGUACCAUCUCUCCUUCGAUCUCUCUUUUUCUCCACUAUAUCCUAGCCGAUUUGCAGAGAUCAUUUAUUGCAGGGUAAUAAGGUAGAUUGAAUGGAACUAAAAUUAGUAUAUGGUUAUGGUUUAUGGUAUCUUAAGGGUUUCACUAUAAUCAUUGGUGUGGUGCAAUCUGGGUCGUGAGUUUGGCAGAUUGACCGUGAUUUUAUUUUCUGGCAUUGAUGGUUUAACCACGUCAUUUGAAGCAUUGUAAAAAAUAAUUUGAAAUAUUAAUUUUUAAAGCUUUUACGAAAAGGCGUCUUAAGGGUUUUGUGUCAACAUAGUCCUUGAGCGAAAACAUUGAUGGCCGUGGAGGAAUCAUCCUUGGUAAUCUGUAAGUAACUUCUUGUUGGCAUAAGUUUUUUUUGCAAUUUAAUUUGCUCCUACAAUUGGGUUAAGAAAGGAUUAAAACAGUUUUAUGGGGGAACAUUCCGAAGGUAACUAUGGUACAGUAUGCGAAGAAACUUUAUUGGUUUGUGCCUCAGAAUGGAGGAGGUUUGUGUGUAUCUUAAUAGUGGAUGUCUAUUUCAUUACAUGCGAGGUUUUUUUGAAAUGCUAAUCGGUUAUAGCAAAUUCACCUUUAUUUAUCAUUUGCAUUUACUUUUUAAGCUAGUAUGUUGUCGUUUAUCUUCGGCAGGUAGUUCGGAACAGUAGAAAUCAGGGAUUGAGGAAACGGUGGUGUGCUAUUUAUUAGUUAUUACCAAUUACCAAUUACCAUCAAGUAAAUUAGAGUUUCGUAAGUAAAUUUUUUCCAGUUCAUUUUGUUGAGAGGUAUUAACUUUGUGGAUAUCUGAGGACUCAAAUCUGUCGUCUUCCCUAGGUAAGAAAGAGUGCUCCAGUGCACAUGGAGUUCAGCUAUAGAAACAAACAGUUAAUUUUCGACUUUGUGUAUCUGUAUGGUGGAGGUUUGUGUGUAUCUGAAUGGUGGAUAUUUCCUUCAUUACAGGCAGGGAUCUUUGAAGCCCUAAUCGGUGUAACUAUAGUCACCAUUAUAUACCAUUUGCGUAUCUGAAUGGUGGAUGUCUACUUCAUUACAGGCAGGGAUCUUUGAAACCCUAAUCAGUGAUACUAUAGUUACCUUUACAUAUAAUUUGCAUUUAAUUUUAAGCUAGGAUGUAGUCGUUUAUCUUCGGCAGGUAAUUACAAGCAGUGGAAAUCAGAGACUGCGGAACAGAGUUGUACGCUUGAUCGCCGAUUAUUACCAAGUAAAUCAAAGUCUGCGUAUCUGAAUGGUGGAUGUCUACUUCAUUGCAGGCAGGGAUCUUUGAAACCCUAACCAGUGAUACUAUAGUCACCUAUACAUAUAAUUUGCAUUUACUUUUAAGCUAGGACGUAGUCGUUUAUCUUCGGCAGGUAAUUACAAGCAGUGGAAAUCAGAGACUGCGAAACAGAGUUGUGCGCUUGAUCGCCGAUUAUUAACAAGUAAAUCAAAGUUUGUGUAAGUAAAAUGUUGGCUGUCUACUUCGCUACAAACCCUAAUCGGUGGUACCAUAGCCACCUUUAUAUAUCAUUUGUGUAUCUGAAUGGUGGAUGUCUACUUCAUUACAGGCAGGGAUCUUUGUAAUCCUAUUCAGUGGUACCAUAGUCACCUUUAUAUGUCAUUUGCAUUUACUUUUAAGCUAGGGUGUAGUCGUUUAUCUUGGGCAGGUAAUUCCAAGCAGUUGAAAUCAGAGACUGCCGAACAGAGUUGGGCGCUUGAUCGCAGAUUACCAUGUAAGUCAAAGUUUUGCAAGUAAAAUGGUGGAUGUCUAAUUCACUACAGGAAGGAUCUUUGAAACCCUAAUUGGUUGUACCAUAGUCACCUUUUAUAUAUCAUUUGUAUUUACUUUCAAGCUAGGAUGUAGUCGUUUAUCUUCGGCAUGUGGUUCCGAACAGUGGAAAUCAGAGACUGAGGAACAGAGUUGUGCGCUUGAUCGCCGAUUAUUACCAAGUAAAUAAAAGUUUCGUAAGUAAAAUGUUGGAUGUCUACUUCACUACAAACCCUAAUCGGUGGUACCAUAGCCACCUUUAUAUAUGAUUUGUGUAUCUGAAUGGUGGAUGUCUACUUCAUUACAGGCAGGGAUCUUUGUAACCCUAAUCAGUGGUACCAUAGUCACCUUUAUAUGUCAUUUGCAUUUACUUUUAAGCUAGGGUGUAGUCGUUUAUCUUGGGCAGGUAAUUCCAAGCAGUUGAAAUCAGAGACUGCCGAACAGAGUUGUGCGCUUGAUCGCCGAUUACCAUGUAAGUCAAAAGUUUUGCAAGUAAAAUGGUGGAUGUCUACUUCACUACAGGAAGGCAUCUUUGAAACCCUAAUUGGUUGCACCAUAGUCACCUUUUAUAUAUCAUUUGUAUUUACUUUCGGGCUAGGAUGUAGUCGUUUGUCUUCCGCAGGUAGUUCCGAACAGUGGAAAUCAGAGACUGCGGAACAGAGUUGUGCGCUUGAUCGCCGAUUAUUACCCAAGUAAAUCAAAGUUUUGUAAGUAAAAUGUUGGAUGUCUACUUCACGACAAACCCUAAUCGUUGGUACCAUAGUCACCUUUAUAUAUCAUUUGUCUAUCUGAAUGGUUUUUGUCUACUUCAUUACAGGCAGGGAUCUAUGUAACCCUAAUCAGUGGUACCAUAGUCACCUUUAUAUGUCAUUUGCAUUUACUUUUAAGCUAGGGUGUAGUCGUUUAUCUUCGGCAGGUAAUUCCAAGCAGUGGAAAUCAGAGACUGCGGAACAGAGUUGUGCGCUUGCUCGCCGAUUACCUUGUAAGUCAAAGUUUUUUUAGUAAAAUGGUGGAUGUCUACUUUCACUACAGGAAGGCAUCAAUGAAACUCUAAUUGGUUGUACCAUAGUCACCUUUAUAGAUCAUUUUUAUUACUUUCAAGCUAGGAUUUUGUCGUUUAUCUUCGGCAGGUAGUUCCGAACAGUGGAAAUUAGAGACUGAGGAACAGAGUUGUGCGCUUGAUCGCUGAUUACAAUUAAGUAAAUCAAAGUUUUGUUGUAAGUAAGUUGUUGGAUGUCUACUUCAUUACAGGAAGGGAUAUUUGAAACCCUAAUCGGUUGUACCAGGUAGAUCCGAACAUUGAAAAUCAGAGACUGACGAACAGAUUUGUGUGCUUGAUCGCCGAUUACCACCAAGUAAAUUAAAGUUUUGUAAUUAGAUUCGUUUCGGUUUAUUUCAUCAUGAGGUUUAGGACUCAAACCUGUUGUCUUCCUCAGGUAACAGACUCUGGAAUUUUGUUAGUAGGAGGUCUAUUUUAUUUACGUUAUUUUAAAUUGAGUGCUGGGCUUUUAAUUAGUUAGCAUUCAACUUAUAUGGACUAAAGUUAAUGCAGUGAAGUAACGGGAUUUGGCUGCACGGUACCUUGUAUCUCUCACAGCCUAACAAACAAUUUUAAUUAAAGUGGAUAUACUUGUUCUAUACUUGUUCCCCUCAUCUGUUCUCGAGGUAAUUAAACGCUUUUGACUGGUUCAGGGCCUUUUUUUUAUUGAGAGGUGGGAACUGAGAACAAGCUGUUGUAUGUUGUAACGAUCGAUGUUUCUCUCCCUAUUAAAACAUCUCGUUCUUCUUCUGAUGAAUAUUCCUCCUUGAUAUUAUGGUUGUAACAGCACUUCAUCCAAAGGGGGAAUAUUAAGGUAAUGAUUAAUAUAAUACUUAAAUCACUUUUCCGUCAAAGCGAAAGAUAAUGUUUGCUUGAAAGGAAGAGUUAAAGACUCGAUUUUCCUGUGGUUUUGAAUUAUAUAGAUAAUGUUCUCUUGCAUUGAAUGGUGUAAGUUUUAAUUUGAUUAAGGAUGAAUCUAUUCUUUUAUUUUUGGGUUAAAUAGGUAUAUUACAGGGAAGAGAGUGCCCACAGUGGACAUGGAUUUGGUGUUUUAAGCUAUAAAACAUUUCAACUUCUAGUUUUGGAUGGAGGAUAAGAACUUCUUAACUAACUCAUUUGAAUUCUGUGGUUUUGAAUUAUAUAGAUAAUGUUCUCUCUUGCAUUGAAUGGUGUAAGUUUUAAUUUGAUAAAGGAUGAAUCUAUUCUAUUAUUUUUGGGUUAAAUAGGUAUAUUACAGGGAAGAGAGUGCCCACAGUGGACAUGGAUUUGGUCUUUUAAGCUAUAAAACAAUUCAACUUCUAGUUUUGUAUGGAGGACAAGAACUUCUUAACUCACUUAUUUGAAUUCAAAGUUCUCUACAAUUAGUUAAUAAAAGAAUUCAUUUUAUCUUUAGUUUUGUUAGAAUUGUCAUUGUUUACAGAAAACAUUGUUCUGUCUAUUCAUGGAAGAGCGCGUCCAUAGUAGAGACAUGGAUUUGGUGUUUCAAGUUAAAAACAAUGCAACAUCUAGUUUUGGUAAACAAUGCAACAUCUAGUUUUGGAAGGAGGAUAAGAACUUAACUCCAUGAUUUGUAUUCAAAGCUAUCUCUGCAAUUAUUUUUCUUUGUUUUGUUCUCUUGCGUUGAACGGUUUGAAAUAAAGGAUGGAUCAUUUCUUCCUUAUUUGGGUCAAUAGGUAUGGAAGAGGGUGCCCACAGUGGACAUGGAUUUGGUGUUUCAAGCUAUAAAACAAUGCAACUUCUAGUUUUGGGAGGACGAUAAGAACUUCUUAUCUGCCUGAUUUGAAUUCAAAGUUGUCCCCGCAAUUAGUUUAAAGAAUUAAUAUGAUCGUAGUUUUUUUAGAAUUUUGUUAUUGUUUACAAAAAACAAUGUUUUCUGGCUAUACAGAUGGUGAGUUAGUAGCCAACUUAAACGUGGCGUUGGACAGUCUCGUUGUAUGAUCCGACCUAUGUUAUUACAGUGAAGUAACAGGAAUUAAGUGGUACAUUUUUUUAUUUCCUUGGUAGGAGUAAUAAUGCAAUGCAAUGUCUCAUCUCUUACAACGUCUAUUUCCUUUUCUUUACUCACUUUUUUAUACAUAAGAUGAACAUAUUAGUUUGAUAGUAUACAAACCGUUUUAUGGUUUUGUUGGAGUACCUGAUUGUCCAGAUUGAUUUCUGAAAGAAGGUUGAGGUAAUGAUUAAUCUGCUUAAAAUGUUUUUUUGUAUUUACUCUUAUGUUGAAGUGAAUGGAAGUCUUCAUGUAGCAGGGAAGGGUUAAGAAGUAGUUUAUUCUUUUACAAAAGGAGGGUAGUUUUGUAUUCUAUAUUGAUGGAAGGGUGUAAGUUGCAAUUUAAUGAGUUUCUCUUUCAGGAAUUUUGUUCUUAAUAGAGCUUAAUUCUGAUUUCGAGGGGGAGGGUAUCAUUUGUGUAAACCAGCGUAGAAUUUUCUUCCAUCUUAAACACAACGGCAAUUUGAAACAGAUGAGUUGGCAAGCCCAAGGUGGAUUAGUUGGCUUGGCUUUUCGUAUGGUGCGGAAUUGGCUAUAUGGCAGUAUGCUUUAUCAUUCAUUAUCAGGUUCAUUCUCCUGCGUUCUAAAGUAUUUAUGACAGUUUUCUCGAGCAGUGUCCAAUUUUGGCAGUAGGAUUGUCAAUUGCUCAUCUUGAAAUGAAUUCAGCGCCGUCUUUUGAAUAGCAUUGUGCCUUUGGAUUAUGCAAAACGAUGUAAUUUGUUUGUACAGAUGAGGAGUUGGCAAGCCCAGGGUGUCUUUAUGCUUGAUCAUUCAUUUUCAGACCUAUUCUGUUGAAUUCUAAAGGAUUUGUGACAGUUUUCUGAAAUUUUCUUUACUGAGAUGAGUUAGCAACCUCAUCUGGAAGUGCUAUAUAGUUGGUGUGAUGGGCUGUGUUUAUGCAAGACUAGUUCCGGUAGAGCUCAAUGGAUUUGCGAAUAUGUUAAUUUCUGAAUGUGGCCUUUUGUGAACAUAACUACUGAAAGGAUCAUUCAAUUUGUUUUA